CGCUGGCGGCAGGCUUAACACAUGCAAGUCGAGCGGAUGAAAGUAGCUUGCUACUGGAUUCAGCGGCGGACGGGUGAGUAAUGCUUAGGAAUCUGCCUAUUAGUGGGGGACAACAUCUCGAAAGGGAUGCUAAUACCGCAUACGUCCUACGGGAGAAAGCAGGGGAUCUUCGGACCUUGCGCUAAUAGAUGAGCCUAAGUCGGAUUAGCUAGUUGGUGGGGUAAAGGCCUACCAAGGCGACGAUCUGUAGCGGGUCUGAGAGGAUGAUCCGCCACACUGGGACUGAGACACGGCCCAGACUCCUACGGGAGGCAGCAGUGGGGAAUAUUGGACAAUGGGGGGAACCCUGAUCCAGCCAUGCCGCGUGUGUGAAGAAGGCCUUUUGGUUGUAAAGCACUUUAAGCGAGGAGGAGGAGCUCUUGGUUAAUACCCAAGAUGCUUGGACGUUACUCGCAGAAUAAGCACCGGCUAACUCUGUGCCAGCAGCCGCGGUAAUACAGAGGGUGCAAGCGUUAAUCGGAUUUACUGGGCGUAAAGCGCGCGUAGGUGGCCAAUUAAGUCAAAUGUGAAAUCCCCGAGCUUAACUUGGGAAUUGCAUUCGAUACUGGUUGGCUAGAGUAUGGGAGAGGAUGGUAGAAUUCCAGGUGUAGCGGUGAAAUGCGUAGAGAUCUGGAGGAAUACCGAUGGCGAAGGCAGCCAUCUGGCCUAAUACUGACACUGAGGUGCGAAAGCAUGGGGAGCAAACAGGAUUAGAUACCCUGGUAGUCCAUGCCGUAAACGAUGUCUACUAGCCGUUGGGGCCUUUGAGGCUUUAGUGGCGCAGCUAACGCGAUAAGUAGACCGCCUGGGGAGUACGGUCGCAAGACUAAAACUCAAAUGAAUUGACGGGGGCCCGCACAAGCGGUGGAGCAUGUGGUUUAAUUCGAUGCAACGCGAAGAACCUUACCUGGCCUUGACAUAGUAA
rnacentral:rRNA from 1 species